AUUGAACGCUGGCGGCAGGCCUAACACAUGCAAGUCGAGCGAGGGGCGGAGGGGUGAGUAAUGUCUGGGAAUUGCCCAGUCGGGGGGUAUCAACGCUGGAAACGACUGCUAAUACCGCAUACGAUUGGGUCGCUCAGGUGGGAGUAGCUAGUUGGGGGGGUAAUGGCUCACCAAGGCGACGAUCCCUAGCUGGUCUGAGAGGAUGAUCAGCCACACUGGGACUGAGACACGGCCCAGACUCCUACGGGAGGCAGCAGUGGGGAAUAUUGGACAAUGGGGGAAACCCUGAUCCAGCCAUGCCGCGUGUAUGAAGAAGGCCUUCGGGUUGUAAAGCACUUUCAGCGAGGAGGCGGUACUCGCAGAAUAAGCACCGGCUAACUCCGUGCCAGCAGCCGCGGUAAUAC
rnacentral:rRNA from 1 species